CUUAUGCGUUGUUGGGUAGGGGAGCGUUCUGUAAGCCUGCGAAGGUGGCCUGUGAGGGUUGCUGGAGGUAUCAGAAGUGCGAAUGCUGACAUAAGUAACGAUAAAGCGGGUGAAAAGCCCGCUCGCCGGAAGACCAAGGGUUCCUGUCCAACGUUAAUCGGGGCAGGGUGAGUCGACCCCUAAGGCGAGGCCGAAAGGCGUAGUCGAUGGGAAACGGGUUAAUAUUCCCGUACUUGGUGUUACUGCGAAGGGGGGACGGAGAAGGCUAUGUUGGCCGGGCGACGGUUGUCCCGGUUUAAGCGUGUAGGUGUGUGUUCCAGGUAAAUCCGGUUCACUUUAACACUGAGGCGUGACGACGAGGCACUACGGUGCUGAAGCAACAAAUGCCCUGCUUCCAGGAAAAGCCUCUAAGCAUCAGGUAACAUCAAAUCGUACCCCAAACCGACACAGGUGGUCAGGUAGAGAAUACCAAGGCGCUUGAGAGAACUCGGGUGAAGGAACUAGGCAAAAUGGUGCCGUAACUUCGGGAGAAGGCACGCUGACACGUAGGUGAAGUGAUUUACUCAUGGAGCUGAAGUCAGUCGAAGAUACCAGCUGGCUGCAACUGUUUAUUAAAAACACAGCACUGUGCAAACACGAAAGUGGACGUAUACGGUGUGACGCCUGCCCGGUGCCGGAAGGUUAAUUGAUGGGGUCAGCGCAAGCGAAGCUCCUGAUCGAAGCCCCGGUAAACGGCGGCCGUAACUAUAACGGUCCUAAGGUAGCGAAAUUCCUUGUCGGGUAAGUUCCGACCUGCACGAAUGGCGUAAUGAUGGCCAGGCUGUCUCCACCCGAGACUCAGUGAAAUUGAACUCGCUGUGAAGAUGCAGUGUACCCGCGGCAAGACGGAAAGACCCCGUGAACCUUUACUAUAGCUUGACACUGAACAUUGAGCCUUGAUGUGUAGGAUAGGUGGGAGGCUUUGAAGUGUGGACGCCAGUCUGCAUGGAGCCGACCUUGAAAUACCACCCUUUAAUGUUUGAUGUUCUAACGUGGACCCGUUACCCGGGUUGCGGACAGUGUCUGGUGGGUAGUUUGACUGGGGCGGUCUCCUCCUAAAGAGUAACGGAGGAGCACGAAGGUUGGCUAAUCCUGGUCGGACAUCAGGAGGUUAGUGCAAUGGCAUAAGCCAGCUUGACUGCGAGCGUGACGGCGCGAGCAGGUGCGAAAGCAGGUCAUAGUGAUCCGGUGGUUCUGAAUGGAAGGGCCAUCGCUCAACGGAUAAAAGGUACUCCGGGGAUAACAGGCUGAUACCGCCCAAGAGUUCAUAUCGACGGCGGUGUUUGGCACCUCGAUGUCGGCUCAUCACAUCCUGGGGCUGAAGUAGGUCCCAAGGGUAUGGCUGUUCGCCAUUUAAAGUGGUACGCGAGCUGGGUUUAGAACGUCGUGAGACAGUUCGGUCCCUAUCUGCCGUGGGCGCUGGAGAACUGAGGGGGGCUGCUCCUAGUACGAGAGGACCGGAGUGGACGCAUCACUGGUGUUCGGGUUGUCAUGCCAAUGGCACUGCCCGGUAGCUAAAUGCGGAAGAGAUAAGUGCUGAAAGCAUCUAAGCACGAAACUUGCCCCGAGAUGAGUUCUCCCUGAGACUUAGAGUCUCCUGAAGGAACGUUGAAGACGACGACGUUGAUAGGCCGGGUGUGUAAGCGCAGCGAUGCGUUGAGCUAACCGGUACUAAUGAACCGUGAGGCUUAACCUUACAACGCCGAAG
rnacentral:rRNA from 2 species